CCUACGGGGGGCAGCAGUGGGGAAUAUUGGACAAUGGGGGCAACCCUGAUCCAGCCAUGCCGCGUGUGUGAAGAAGGCCCUCGGGUUGUAAAGCACUUUCAGUGAGGAAGAACGCCUGGUGGUUAAUACCCAUCAGGAAAGACAUCACUCACAGAAGAAGCACCGGCUAACUCCGUGCCAGCAGCCGCGGUAAUACGGAGGGUGCGAGCGUUAAUCGGAAUUACUGGGCGUAAAGCGCGCGUAGGUGGCUUGAUAAGCCGGUUGUGAAAGCCCCGGGCUCAACCUGGGAACGGCAUCCGGAACUGUCAAGCUAGAGUGCAGGAGAGGAAGGUAGAAUUCCCGGUGUAGCGGUGAAAUGCGUAGAGAUCGGGAGGAAUACCAGUGGCGAAGGCGGCCUUCUGGACUGACACUGACACUGAGGUGCGAAAGCGUGGGUAGCAAACAGGAUUAGAUACUCCGGUAGUC
rnacentral:rRNA from 1 species